rnacentral:rRNA from 1 species
CCUACGGGUGGCAGCAGUGGGGAAUAUUGGUCAAUGGGCGCAAGUCUGACCCAGUAAUGCCGCGUGAAGGAAGAAGGCUUUCGGGUUGUAAACUUGUUUUUUCAGGGACGAAAAAAGUGAUGCUACCUGAGGUAUAAGCCACGGCUAACUACGUGGCAGCAGCCGCGGCAAUACGGAGGUGGCAAGCGUUAUCCGGAUUUAUUGGGUUUAAAGGGUGUGUAGGCGGGAGGGCAAGUCAGAUGUGAAAACUCCGGGCUCAACCCUGGGCCUGCAUUUCAAACUGGGUUGCUUGAGUGCUGGGGAGGCAGGCGGAAUUCGGGGUGUAGCGGUGAAAUGCGUAGAUAUGAGGAAGAACACCGAUGGCGAAGGCAGAUUGCUGGACCGUAACUGACGCUGAGGCGCGAAAGCGUGGGGAGCGAACAGGAUUAGAUACCCUUGUAGUC